rnacentral:rRNA from 1 species
CCUACGGGGGGCAGCAGUGGGGAAUUUUGGACAAUGGGCGAAAGCCUGAUCCAGCAAUGCCGCGUGCAGGACGAAGGCCUUCGGGUUGUAAACUGCUUUUGUACGGAACGAAAAAGUCUUUUCUAAUAAAGAAGGCUCAUGACGGUACCGUAAGAAUAAGCACCGGCUAACUACGUGCCAGCAGCCGCGGUAAUACGUAGGGUGCAAGCGUUAAUCGGAAUUACUGGGCGUAAAGCGUGCGCAGGCGGUUAUAUAAGACAGAUGUGAAAUCCCCGGGCUCAACCUGGGACCUGCAUUUGUGACUGUAUAGCUAGAGUACGGUAGAGGGGGAUGGAAUUCCGCGUGUAGCAGUGAAAUGCGUAGAUAUGCGGAGGAACACCGAUGGCGAAGGCAAUCCCCUGGACCUGUACUGACGCUCAUGCACGAAAGCGUGGGGAGCAAACAGGAUUAGAUACCCGGGUAGUC